AUGGCUGCAAUGAGGUUUGGUUUGGUUCUAUUUCUUAUGGAAAAAAAGACCAUCCUGAUCAAAAAACCAAUUGGUUCAGUGUUGUCAAUUGCAGAUAACCAACAGAAAAUCACAGUUCAUUUGUUCAAAUUCUGUUACAUCGACGUUAAGGCGCGGCUAUUUGAAAACACUUGUUCAAAUUUCACCAUUUUUUAG